rnacentral:lncRNA from 1 species
CCAUGUCAUUAUGAAUUUCAAUCUUCGGUGAAAUAGCACCCCUUGCAUCGUCAAAAUGUACCUUUACUUUUUUCCAACAACGGUCUCUACUACUACUCUCACUUUCAUCUUGGGACAACCUUUUAGAGACAUGAGUAGUUUGAGUAGGAUUCGCCCUCGUAUACCAUCGGAGGUGUGUGAGAUCUCUCAUCUUCAUGUUGAUUUAGCAACUUGGCAUCCGAAGGAGGAACAUCAAUGAUAAGGGCCUCAUUUAUAGGUGCUUCAUCAGAAUUCCCCAAAUGUGUGGCGAUAGUCGACCCAGAGAUGUCCAUCAACAUCUGUAGAUGAUGACUAAGAAAAUCCCCAUGAGUCUUUUUUCACCAAGUCUAAUAGUCGGUUCCGAAGAACUUGCCCAUAUUAGGCAAAACUGAAGGAAAAGUUGCUUAUGAGGAUGAUCGGCUCAUUGUGCAAAUCCUCCCAAAUAUUAGUACUUUUUCUAAGGAGGCAGUGCAAAUGUCGUUCUUCAUGAUGCCUAAAAUAUUCUGAUAAAAUCCAAAC